CUAUCUUGGAAAACUUGGCACUCGGCAUCAAUCUUCCUGCAUUUUUUUACAUUGGUGUUUGUUGAGGAAGAAAUAGAAUAUAUACCAUUGUUUAUAUUUACAUAUGUGCUCCCCGUUCCAGUGCCACCCUUCCCUCAAUUCUCAGUUAUAUUGUCCCUCUUCUUUUGCAGGGUCCCCUUAUGACCAACCUUUCUCUCAAUUCACUUAGUGUCCCUCUUCUUUAGUAGUGUCCCCCAGUGCCACCCUUCUUUUCCUCCAAUGACACAUUUCUCUAAUUUUCCAUUUUGUCAAGGCCCCUUUUCAUUAGAGGUGGCACCCAUUGCCACCCUUCUUUUCCACCCCCAGCACCACCCUUCUCUAAAUUUGCAAAACAUUUGCAAAUGAUAUGCAUUUAUAGUAGAAUUUAAACAGCCACACUGCUAAAAUGCUCCAGUAACACUUAGUAGAGAAACAUGUUGUAUUGUUUCUGUGUUUAUUCUAUCUGGUAUAGUCACUGAAUGUUUAGUUAGUACUCCUAUAAGAGCUAGGCUUUUGCUUGUGUUUAAUUGGAAUCACCUGUGAAUGUGCCAUUUGUUUAUUUAUGGAAUAAAAUUACUCCUUUCUGCAAUUUCAAGUCUGCAGCUGUUUAUACCCCAGACUGUUUGUUUUGUCUGAAAACAGGUAUUCUGUGUGGGUACGGUAUCAG